AUUCAUCAUUCUCCAAUAUUCAUCCUCUGGACAAGGGAAUUUCCAGUUAUCUUUCUCAACACUCAGAGGAAUUGCUGCAGGAGUCAAGCAUAUCACGGCCUCUUGAAGUUGCUUCGCAGCUCCUCGUAGAAGAGCCCCAGUGUUCAGACUCUGCAUCAAAGAGCUAUCGCACAAAAGUCUUGCAAAGACUACAAGAAAUUGUUGAGAACCAGCAAGACAUCCUUGCCAUGCAGAGGCAGUUACUGGCUGCAGUAGCUGUGACCAUGACAGAGGAAGAUGGGUUUUUUUCUGUAAAAUGGGCCAUGCCAAACAGUGGAGGAUCUGCAGACCCUUGACAGGGAUUUGGAAAAUAAAGAAAAAAGGGCCAAGAUGAUGAAUUACCUUCGGUCCCUUGGAGGAGCAAACCCAGGUGCAACCUUGCGCAAAAUAUUGCAACAUGAUCAUAGG